CACGUAGGCGGCCUGGUAAGUCAGAUGUGAAAGCCCGGGGCUUAACCCCGGAAGUGCAUUUGAUACUGUCAGGCUUGAGUAUGGGAGAGGGAAGUGGAAUUCCUGGUGUAGAGGUGAAAUUCGUAGAUAUCAGGAGGAACACCGGUGGCGAAGGCGGCUUCCUGGACCAAUACUGACGCUGAGGUGCGAAGGCGUGGGGUAGCAAACA
rnacentral:rRNA from 1 species